GAUGCAUCUAAAGUAAAUUCAAUUUUUCCAAUGCGCAUUUCCCGAUUUCUAUCAGAGGUAACAAUCACCACGUCUCUGUAAUCCGUCGCUUCUGGAGAUUCUAAGGUUUUUUACCUCAGAAUGAAGGGUAAUUACCCUAGAUACCUUGUCGAGUUCAAGAUCGCAGUUGAAUGUAAAAAAACUAUUGAAAGUACUCUUAAUGCUUACAAAGCCGCUCAGGUUCAUUCCUACUUUAUGAUUUCUGCUUGAGCGAUUUUCGUGAUGCGUUGAAUUGAUCGGACCUGUUUUUUCAUUUAGAAGAUAUUGCAAAUGCCAAGUUGCCUCAUACACAUUCUAUUCGACUUGGAUUAGCACUUGACUUCUCUGUAUUCUAUUUUUGAAAUUUUGAAUUCCCUAAUCGUGCCUGCAGUUAUUUGAAACAGGAUGAUGAGGCUGAUGAGAUUAAGCUCCACUGAAGCAUGAAGAUGAAAAGCAGUGAGAUUAGCGGCUGCCCAAAUAGGGUUAAAACUUCUCCUUUAUAUGUUUUUUAUAGGAGAAGAUGCUUGCUUUGCUUGUUGUUGCUUAUUUGGUACUCUCCCUGGGCUCUUUCUAAAAGGUUCUCAUGUUAUUUGUUGUCGGAUUGUGAUGACCCAAGCUACAAACCUUAUUUACUCCUUUUUUUUCUUCUUAAUCUUCUCAAUCUCGAAUCGAUACAUAUGAUAGAUAUAUCUAGAUACCAGCUUGUUAAUUUUUUAAAUGGCUAACAUAUGGGAAUGGCCAUAACUUUUUUUGUGUAAA